CGGAACGAUCCUAACGACACUCACGUAUGGACUAACGGUUGUUGUUGUUUAUCCAUCUAUUCACUAGCAGGUGGCAAGAGCAACAAACACACCAGUCCCACCCCAAAUGCCCGGUUGUUUUGAUGCAAGAAAUACGGUUCUUCUACACCCACCACAAGCAGGUUGCCUCCGUGCAGUACACGUGACAAUGUAACGGAUCUACCCCUCACCGUUCACUAUCGGAAAAGGAACAGCAGCAGCAGCCAGUAGUGCGAGCUCCUCGUGUACUACCGCGUGGUGGUGGUUGGUUUGCACCACUUGAGUGGGACAAUAAUAGUGGCGGCAAUAACAACAACGGCAACCACUUGCAGCAUGGGAAAGUAGUAACGCUUAAGUCGCAUGGAGUGUGCGUUGGUGUAUAUCACGCGAUGUUUACUGGCCCUGCUGAUUUGUUUACGGAGUGUGUUAUACAACGUGUGCGAGAGAGAGAGAGAGGUGUGGGUGAUCUUGGAGAUGUGUGAUCGUAGAACAAGAAAGAUUAUGAAUCUCUCUCGCGUUGGGAAGUGAAGUGGCAGCUGGUGCAUCAGAAACACACUUCAAUAAACAAAGGCCUGCUCAGCAAGAGACUUGCAGUAUAGAACCAUCGAUCGUACGGCGACAUAAGCGCGUCUCUCUCGUGUGUGUCGUGAUUCGUGUGCCAAGGAAUGCGUUGCAUUUGCAUACAGUGCCGCUCGGACAUGCUUCCUAUUUUCGCACUGCCGAUGCACCACCACCAUCAUCUGCAUCACUGCAACGAGAGCGGGACCGGAUUCUAACGUCCCGAGACCGUAAACAACACCGCGAUCAAACUGCAAACUGUAAACAAUGAAGAAUGCUGCGCUGAACCUGGCCAGAAACGUGACGAGGAUCGUGAAUGGCCCUAUCCAGACAAGCUUUAAAAACAGUAGCUCUGCUGCCCAUUGGAGAAAACGAUCGAUUAUGAAGCUUACUUCCGCCCCCGACUAUUGGCUCCCAACAUCUUCUUGUACACCCCAAACCAAACACACCGUUGUUGGGCCGUCGUGUUUCUCAAUCACUCGCAGUGUUGAAAGAUAUACAACACACACGUCCGUCUCUCUCUUCCCCAACGGCAACAAUCAAUGUUGGCGGCGCCCCACGGCCGACCGCGCAAUACGCGGUCGGGGAAUAAAUAUCUAAUUUGCUGCUAAACAGCAACAUCGGCGGCAACCUCUGCUCGGCGUGGUUUAAAGGGGAUGGAAGGGAGGCGGAUGAUAUUUUUCGCGUUAAAAUGCUUUCCUUGGGGGCACGACCACUUUACGCGUAAACAAGCUAGAAUGACGACGACGGUACACACAAGUGGCGGCGCGAGCAACGAACGAACGAAGGUCAACUCGUACUCACCCCUUGGUGGAAGUGCGGUGGUGGUGUUGGUGUGACCAAGCCCUUCAACCACCCAGCUUGUAUACGGUACCGGUACGUUGGGACGAUAGGUAUUAGUUGAAAGGGGUGCUGAUAAUAAUGGCACAGCUCACGUUUUAGAUACAUUUGACUACGACAUUGUCAGACAAAAAAACCAUGCUCGUUACUGAUUACUGUUAUCUAGUCUAAUGAUAACAACCUCCUUUGCACCAAUUGUAUCGAAAAAGUCCAUAUUCAUCGUGCCACAGCUGUGUAGAUAUAAGUAUUAGAAGACACCUUG